GACUCUCGAUAAUAGAUAUCCUGGCUCUCGCAUCGAUGAAGAACGUAGAAAAAUGUGAUACUUGGUGUGAAUUGCAGAAUCCCGUAAACCAUAGAGUAUUUGAACGCAAGUUGCGCCCGAAGCCAUUAAGACGUGGGCACGUCUGCUGGGUGUCA